rfam:Triticum aestivum genome assembly, contig: Triticum_aestivum_CS42_TGACv1_scaffold_362680_4DS
CCCCUGCAAGACGAUGAGCUGAUUUCCCAUAUCCUCUCUUGUUUGGACAUGGACUACCAGCCACUCAUCUCCGCCCUCGACGUCUGCACCGAGCCACUCACCCUCGACCACCUCUUUGCGCUUAUGUCCAACUUCGAGA